CCUACGGGAGGCAGCAGUGAGGAAUAUUGGUCAAUGGACGAGAGUCUGAACCAGCCAAGUAGCGUGAAGGAGGAAGGCACAAAGGGUUGUAAACUUCUUUUGUCAAGGAAUAAAACGAGGCACGUGUGCCUUUUUGCAUGUACUGUAAGAAAAAGGAUAGGCUAACUCCGUGCCAGCAGACGCGGUAAUACGGAGGAUCCGAGCGUUAUCCGGAUUUAUUGGGUUUAAAGGGAGCGUAGAUGGUUUGUUAAGUCAGUUGUUAAAGUUUGCGGCUCAACCGUAAAAUUGCAAUUGAUACUGGCAGUCUUGAGUAGAGGUGAGGUAGGCGGAAUUCGUGGUGUAGCGGUGAAAUGCUUAGAUAUCACGAAGAACCCCGAUUGCGAAGGCAGCUUACUAAACUGUCACUGACAUUGAUGCACGAAAGUGUGGGUAUCAAACAGGAUUAGAUACCCUGGUAGUC
rnacentral:rRNA from 1 species